AAUGAACGUUGGCGGCGUGGAUUAGGCAUGCAAGUCGAGCGAGAAGUUUUCCUUCGGGAAAAUGGACAGCGGCAAACGGGGUAGUAAUGCGUAGGUAACGUACCCUAAGGACCGGGAUAGCUGAGGGAAACUUCAGGUAAUACCGGAUGAUCUCCCUUCUUCUGAUGGAGAGAGGAGCAAAUGGUGUGAUUCCGCCUUUGGAGCGGCUUACGUGGUAUUAGGUAGUUGGUGAGGUAACGGCCCACCAAGCCUGAGAUGCCUAGGGGGUGUGAGAGCAUGGCCCCCACCACUGGGACUGAGAUACUGCCCAGACACCUACGGGUGGCUGCAGUCGAGAAUCUUCGGCAAUGGGCGCAAGCCUGACCGAGCGACGCCGCGUGCGGGAUGAAGGCCCUUGGGUUGUAAACCGCUGUCAGAGGGGAUGAAAUGCGUAAGGGUAAUCUCUUACGUUUGACAAAGCCUCAGAGGAAGCACGGGCUAAGUACGUGCCAGCCGCCGCAGUAAGAC
rnacentral:rRNA from 1 species